AUGGGUUUAAUGAAAAGAACCAACAACAGACGAUGAAAAGGACUGGAGGGCUUAAUGGAUUUAGCAAUUUGGAAAAUAGGAGUAAUGGCAAGAACGAGAUGAGAGAUUUGGUUGAGAUUUUAUUUAAGCUGAACCCCAUGGUUGAAGAAUUUGUAAUAAAGCCUUGUUGCUUUAUGUACGACAGUUCCUUGUUAGUAAAUCCACC
rnacentral:lncRNA from 1 species